GACGAACGCUGGCGGCGUGCUUAACACAUGCAAGUCGAACGAAGAGCGAUGGAAGCUUGCUUCCAUCAAUCUUAGUGGCGAACGGGUGAGUAACGCGUAAUCAACCUGCCCUUCAGAGGGGGACAACAGUUGGAAACGACUGCUAAUACCGCAUACGAUCUAACCUUGGCAUCGAGGAUGGAUGAAAGGUGGCCUCUAUUUAUAAGCUAUCACUGAAGGAGGGGAUUGCGUCUGAUUAGCUAGUUGGAGGGGUAACGGCCCACCAAGGCGAUGAUCAGUAGCCGGUCUGAGAGGAUGAACGGCCACAUUGGGACUGAGACACGGCCCAGACUCCUACGGGAGGCAGCAGUGGGGAAUCUUCCGCAAUGGACGAAAGUCUGACGGAGCAACGCCGCGUGAGUGAUGACGGCCUUCGGGUUGUAAAGCUCUGUUAAUCGGGACGAAAGGCCUUCUUGCGAAUAGUAGAAGGAUGACGGUACCCGAAUAGAAAGCC
rnacentral:rRNA from 1 species